rnacentral:rRNA from 1 species
AAACUUAAGGAAUUGACGGGGAGCACCACAACGGGUGGAGCUUGCGGUUUAAUUGGAUUCAACGCCGGAAAUCUUACGGGACCGACAGCAAUAUGAAGGCCAGACUGAAGACUUUGCCGGAUUAGCUGAGAGGUGGUGCAUGGCCGUCGUCAGUUCGUACUGUGAAGCAUCCUGUUAAGUCAGGCAACGAGCGAGACCCACGCCAACAGUUGCCAGCUCGUCCUCCGGGAUGGUGGGGACACUGUUGGGACCGCCUCUGCUAAAGAGGAGGAAGGAAUGGGCAACGGUAGGUCAGCAUGCCCCGAAUUAUCUGGGCUACACGCGGGCUACAAUGGGUGGGACAAUGGGUAUCGACACCGAAAGGUGAAGGCAAUCUCCUAAACCCAUCCGUAGUUCGGAUUGUGGGCUGCAACUCGCCCACAUGAAGCUGGAAUCUGUAGUAAUCGUGUCUCAAAAUGGCACGGUGAAUAUGUCCCUGCUCCUU